rnacentral:lncRNA from 1 species
GCCAGAGGAACAAGGGCAUUUUACAGCCUCUAAUUCUCAGUGUAGGGGAACAAUGUAGUCAAGCCAGACUUGCGCACAACACUUACUUUCCAUGCUGGGUGGAAGGGGAAGGAGGAGAGCAGGGUUGGCCACCCCUGUAGUCACUGAAUUUGUGGCUAUGGCCCCACACCCAGCACCAGUGUGGUUGACUCAGGCAAGGGGCUUUAUCAGGACACUACACAUGUAGAUACUGGGGACCUUAUGUAUGCAAAGUGCACCAAUGCCAACAGGAGCUCAAGAAGGAAGUGCCUUUGUAUCAGCAACUGCAUUGCACUGAAGUUGGUGAGGAACAAUCAAAGCCUAACAGAUAUGAGUAGGAAACCACUGGAAUACAGGGCCAUACUGUCAAGACAGAACAGACAGAUACCUACAGCUUCAUCAUUGCCAGCAGCAGACUGCUGGGUUGACAUUUACUGAUCAAAAGAAACACUGCCUGAAGAAUUUUCUCUGUCCAAAGAUAAAAGGAAUACAAUACUUUCAUGGUAAAUUUGUUUGAACGUGUUCAGUUACUACUCUUCAGCCAUGAAAUAAGAAGCUGUUUGUAGAGAUCACAUUCCCAAACAAACGACGCUGUGGGAAAAGCCAGAUGCUCAAUGGUAGUUAAGUGACACAUCUUUAUUGUAGGUGUCACAGCAAUCCCAACCAGAAUAGAUUUUCCACAGUUCUCCCAUGCUGAUCUAGCUUCUGCAGCUAUUUACCACUUAUUGGUCAGCAAGUGCAGCCUCUCCUCUAGAGUGCAUAUGUAAAAGGUUUACAGAUGUUUGUUGCUUGUGCAAUACAUGUAGGUUGUUCAGUGGGUCUACAAGGGGCCCUCCUCAUUAAAUACUAACGCAUCAGCUGCUGCAAGGAUUAGGAAAUCUUCAGCUGAGUGUCAGCUUCUGGAGGCAGCUAAGUUUCUUUUAGUGAAUUCAAAAGGCUUUUGAAAACUGAGGGGUUAAUAUGUCUCUCAUGAAUGGUUCAAACAACAACAUUUAAACCAGGAAAGUUUUCUUCCAUGUUUAGUAUUUGCAACAGUUUCAGCAGAUCUGAAGACUGUCUUUUGUUAUCUUAGUGCUAGGUCUUAGCUGCAGACUCCUAGUAGCCCCUCUGAAAAUCCCAUCAGUGAGAAACUCAAGCAGGCGUUCAGCUCAGGAAAGAUUUGGGGGAAUGAGCACCUGUCACUCGGCCUCACUGUUGUGACUAAAGGGAGCUUUGCUUCUACAGUAUUUUCACAUAAAAUAUAUAAGCUGUUGAGUUCACAGCCUUUGAACUUCAGCAAUAAGGCCAACUGCUUGAGUCACUUAAAACCUGCAGGAAAAAGCAGAAACAAUACCACCCCCUGCCAGCUGGAGAUUUACUCAAUUCAUUUAUGCUUUAUUUCAGCACACUACAUUUCCAGCUAAGCCAGUGGUACAGCAGAGGUAAUAAUUUGUUUUUC